rnacentral:rRNA from 1 species
CUUUUUUUUAGCGGCGGACGGGUGAGUAAUGCUUAGGAAUCUGCCUACUAGUGGGGGCCAACAUUCCGAAAGGGAUGCUAAUACCGCAUACGUCCUACGGGAGAAAGCAGGGGAUCUUCGGACCUUGCGCUAAUAGAUGAGCCUAAGUCGGAUUAGCUAGUUGGUGGGGUAAAGGCCUACCAAGGCGACGAUCUGUAGCGGGUUUGAGAGGAUGAUCCGCCCCUGGGACUGAGACACGGCCCAGACUCCUACGGGAGGCAGCAGUGGGGAAUAUUGGACAAUGGGGGGAACCCUGAUCCAGCCAUGCCGCGUGUGUGAAGAAGGCCUUAUGGUUGUAAAGCACUUUAAGCGAGGAGGAGGCUACUGAGACUAAUACUCUUGGAUAGGGACGUUA